rnacentral:rRNA from 1 species
AAACGUAGGGGGCGAGCGUUGUCCGGAAUUACUGGGCGUAAAGGGCGCGUAGGCGGUUUCUUAAGUCUCAAGGUGAAAACUAUCGGCUUAACCGGUAGCCUGCCUGAGAAACUGAGGGACUUGAGGGCAGGAGAGGGGAGUGGAAUUCCCAGUGUAGCGGUGAAAUGCGUAGAUAUUGGGAGGAACACCGGUGGCGAAGGCGGCUCUCUGGCCUGUUACUGACGCUGAGGCGCGAAAGCGUGGGGAGCGAACGGGAUUAGAUACCCCGGUAGUCCACGCCGUAAACGAUGGGUGCUAGGUGUAGGAGGUAUCGACCCCUUCUGUGCCGUAGUUAACACAUUAAGUGCCCCGCCUGGGGAGUACGAUCGCAAGAUUAAA